rnacentral:rRNA from 1 species
GGGGACGGAGAAGGCUAUGUUGGCCGGGCGACGGUUGUCCCGGUUUAAGCGUGUAGGCUGGUUUUCCAGGCAAAUCCGGAAAACCAAGGCUGAGGCGUGAUGACGAGGCACUACGGUGCUGAAGCGACAAAUGCCCUGCUUCCAGGAAAAGCCUCUAAGCAUCAGGUAACAUCAAAUCGUACCCCAAACCGACACAGGUGGUCAGGUAGAGAAUACCAAGGCGCUUGAGAGAACUCGGGUGAAGGAACUAGGCAAAAUGGUGCCGUAACUUCGGGAGAAGGCACGCUGAUAUGUAGGUGAAGCGACUUGCUCGUGGAGCUGAAAUCAGUCGAAGAUACCAGCUGGCUGCAACUGUUUAUUAAAAACACAGCACUGUGCAAACACGAAAGUGGACGUAUACGGUGUGACGCCUGCCCGGUGCCGGAAGGUUAAUUGAUGGGGUUAGCGGCAACGCGAAGCUCUUGAUCGAAGCCCCGGUAAACGGCGGCCGUAACUAUAACGGUCCUAAGGUAGCGAAAUUCCUUGUCGGGUAAGUUCCGACCUGCACGAAUGGCGUAAUGAUGGCCAGGCUGUCUCCACCCGAGACUCAGUGAAAUUGAACUCGCUGUGAAGAUGCAGUGUACCCGCGGCAAGACGGAAAGACCCCGUGAACCUUUACUAUAGCUUGACACUGAACAUUGAGCCUUGAUGUGUAGGAUAGGUGGGAGGCUUUGAAGUGUGGACGCCAGUCUGCAUGGAGCCGACCUUGAAAUACCACCCUUUAAUGUUUGAUGUUCUAACGUUGGCCCGUAAUCCGGGUUGCGGACAGUGUCUGGUGGGUAGUUUGACUGGGGCGGUCUCCUCCUAAAGAGUAACGGAGGAGCACGAAGGUUGGCUAAUCCUGGUCGGACAUCAGGAGGUUAGUGCAAUGGCAUAAGCCAGCUUGACUGCGAGCGUGACGGCGCGAGCAGGUGCGAAAGCAGGUCAUAGUGAUCCGGUGGUUCUGAAUGGAAGGGCCAUCGCUCAACGGAUAAAAGGUACUCCGGGGAUAACAGGCUGAUACCGCCCAAGAGUUCAUAUCGACGGCGGUGUUUGGCACCUCGAUGUCGGCUCAUCACAUCCUGGGGCUGAAGUAGGUCCCAAGGGUAUGGCUGUUCGCCAUUUAAAGUGGUACGCGAGCUGGGUUUAGAACGUCGUGAGACAGUUCGGUCCCUAUCUGCCGUGGGCGCUGGAGAACUGAGGGGGGCUGCUCCUAGUACGAGAGGACCGGAGUGGACGCAUCACUGGUGUUCGGGUUGUCAUGCCAAUGGCACUGCCCGGUAGCUAAAUGCGGAAGAGAUAAGUGCUGAAAGCAUCUAAGCACGAAACUUGCCCCGAGAUGAGUUCUCCCUGACUCCUUGAGAGUCCUGAAGGAACGUUGAAGACGACGACGUUGAUAGGCCGGGUGUGUAAGCGCAGCGAUGCGUUGAGCUAACCGGUACUAAUGAACCGUGAGGCUUAACCUUACAACGCCGAAG